AUCACUUCCUGAGAAAGAACAGAUGCAGUUUGGUUUCAUUUACAUGAACUAUAGAGGCUCCUUGUCUUAGCCAGGCAGCCUUUUUUUUUUAUUUAUUUAUUUUUAAUUCCUUUCUUUUUUUUCCCUAAAUAUUUUUUGUAUUUAGGCAGAGGAUCAAGUUGAAGCAUUUCACUCCGCUCGUGAGGAAGCAGCAUCCUUGAAGAGCAAGUUGGAGGAAGCCAUUUCUGAGCAGCAAAGGCUCAGGGAUGUGAGUGCAGCUUUAACAAGCACUUGCCAGUUGCUUCAGGAAAAGGUGGAACACCAGAGAAUGCUGUGCAGAGUUAGAAUCUGCCUAUGGUCUGCUGCCCACCUCAGCUGAACCUAUAAAAGGGAAGCAGCUCUAUUGCUCUAAAGGGCCGUGGAAUGAAGGACCCUCAGAUCUUUUGUCCUGGCACAGUUCCCCUCUGCUAGGUAAGACCUGGUGGUACUGACCAUUUUUCUAUCUCUUUCCUGAAGUACAGGAGGAGUUGAUAGAACAGUAUCAUUAGUGAUAAA
rnacentral:lncRNA from 1 species